AAUUCACUUACCAUUUCAUGUGAAUUGUGGGGACAAAACUCUUCAGGACACACCCAACACCAGGCAGCUUUCUCAUCCGACCACUAGAGGGCAGUGUUCUACAAUAUGUCUUCCAACAAAAGGUCCACUCGGCUGAGGAGCUUGGAGUGGAGAUGACUGGCAGCUUCAAGUAUCUUUGUGUCCGUAUCAGCGAGGAGCUCGUUUGGGCACUUAUCAGCUCCAGCUGGACUAGGAGAGGAAGCUUGGCAUGGUUUUGGAACCUCAGCAUUAUGUGUGAGCCUGUUGACCAGCUGUAUCACCUGGUGGUACGGCAGCUGCACUGCAGUGGCGCACAAUCCGCCUCCAUCCUCAGAGACCACGCCCACUUUCAGCACAGACUCCUCACACAGAUAUUGGACCGAUAUCCUGCGAUGAGGUGGCGACUUGUCCAGAGUGUACUCUGCCUUCCGCCCGAAUGCAGCUGAAAUAGGCUCCAGCACCCCCUCAAUAGGGACAAGCGGUAGAAAAUGGGUGGAUAUUUGGACCGAUAUCAAUAAACGAUUGGGAGACGUGUUGAGUGCUUUUCAGUGGAUAUCCAUGCAAGCUGUACACGGACUACUCUAAAGUUUCAUUUCUAUAAUAUUGCCCUUAUGGGGCAAAUAUACUGUAAUAAAAAGCUAAAAUGUGAGGCUUGAACUACCUUUUUGAUAUCGGCGGCAUCACAUUUUAUCGCCCUCCUACAGUUAAACAUUUAAUCUUUUC